rnacentral:rRNA from 1 species
GAUGAACGCUGGCGGCGUGCCUAAUACAUGCAAGUCGAGCGAACAGACGAGGAGCUUGCUCCUCUGACGUUAGCGGCGGACGGGUGAGUAACACGUGGAUAACCUACCUAUAAGACUGGGAUAACUUCGGGAAACCGGAGCUAAUACCGGAUAAUAUAUUGAACCGCAUGGUUCAAUAGUGAAAGACGGUUUUGCUGUCACUUAUAGAUGGAUCCGCGCCGCAUUAGCUAGUUGGUAAGGUAACGGCUUACCAAGGCGACGAUGCGUAGCCGACCUGAGAGGCUGGUCGGCCACACUGGAGCGGGGACACGGUCCAGGGGCCUACGGGAGGCAGCAGUAGCGAAGCUUCCGCAAUGGGCGAAAGCAUGACGGAGCAACGCCGCGUGAGUGAUGAAGAUCUUCGGAUCGUAAAACUCUGUUAUGAGGUAAGAACAAAUGUGGAAGUAACUAUGCACGUCUUGACGGUACCGAAUCAGAAAGCCACGGCUAACUACGUG